GACAGAGGGGGCAAGCGUUGUCCGGAGUUACUGGGCGUAAAGGGCGCGGAGGCGGUCUGCGGCGUCGGCGCUGAAAGCGCCCCGCUUAACGGGGCGAGGCGUGCCGAUACGCGCAGGCUCGAGGCGAGCAGAGGGUGGUGGAAUUCCGGGUGGAGCGGUGAAAUGCGUAGAGAUCCGGAGGAACGCCAGUGGGGAAGCCGGCCACCGGGGCUCGACCUGACUCUGCGGCGCGACAGCGUGGGGUGCAAACCGG
rnacentral:rRNA from 1 species